rnacentral:snRNA from 1 species
GUGCUUGCUUCAGCAGCACAUAUACUAAAAUUGGAACAAUAACAAAGAUUAGCAUGGCCCCUG